rnacentral:lncRNA from 1 species
UGAAUAUGUAAAUCUGAAUUUGCGGUGCUAGUAAGAGUCUUUGAUCUAUAUUUGCAUCGAAGUCAGUUUUUCUCUCCUUUCAUAAUUGGAGAAUAAUAAACGAAAAUUGUAUAUCUUAUGAUUCAGAAAAGAAAGUUCGAAAAACUCUUACGAUAAAUUCAUACUUAAAAGCUCAUAAACUAAAAUUGAACACUAAAACGGUGAUGAAAGAACUGAAAACUAACGCAGAGAAACAUGAUCUAUAAAUUUAAAUCUAGAACGUGAAAUCUCACAAAGAAAUGUUAAGUAAAAAAAUAAAUAAAUAUUACUUCUUAUGUUUUCAAUACUUCUUAGAUAGGUUACACGAACAUCGUAUAACACUACUGUCAGUAAACGACCAUCGUAUAACACUACUGUCAGUAAACGACCAUCGUAUAACACUACUGUCAGUAAACGACAUUGUCAUUGUAACAACGAUGAUCAGUAACAACAGAUCGUUCCAUCACGAUUUUCGUUAGCGAUGUUUACUGACAGAGAAGAGAUUGUUAUUCGUGUUCUUAGUAAAAUGUCUAUUGGUCAAAUUAAAGCACGUGCUAAGAAAUGAUACUAUAAUAACACGUGACAAGCCAAGAUGGCUG